GGGCGGUUAGCUCAGCCGGUUAGAGCGGGUGACUUACAUUCACCAGGUCGGGGGUUCGAGUCCUCCACCGCCCA
rnacentral:tRNA from 1 species